UGGGGAAUAUUGCACAAUGGGCGCAAGCCUGAUGCAGCCAUGCCGCGUGUGUGAAGAAGGCCUUCGGGUUGUAAAGCACUUUCAGCGAGGAGGAAGGUGGUGAGCUUAAUACGCUCAUCAAUUGACGUUACUCGCAGAAGAAGCACCGGCUAACUCCGUGCCAGCAGCCGCGGUAAUACGGAGGGUGCAAGCGUUAAUCGGAAUUACUGGGCGUAAAGUGCACGCAGGCGGUUUGUUAAGUCAGAUGUGAAAAUCCCCGGGCUCAACCUGGGAACUGCAUUUGAAACUGGCAAGCUAGAGUCUCGUAGAGGGGGGUAGAAUUCCAGGUGUAGCGGUGAAAUGCGUAGAGAUCUGGAGGAAUACCGGUGGCGAAGGCGGCCCCCCUGGACGAAGACUGACGCUCAGGUGCGAAAGCGUGGGGCAGCAAACAGGAUUAGAUACCCUGGUAGUCCAGCGCUGUAAAACGAUGUCGAUUUGGAGGUUGUGCCCUUGAGGCGUGGCUUCCGGAGCUAACGCGUUAAAAUCGACCGCCUGGGGAGUACGGCCGCAAGGUUAAAAACUCAAAGGAAUUGAC
rnacentral:rRNA from 1 species